CCCGUGCUACAACCGCGCAGAACAGGUUUUAAAACUGCUGUCUGCAGUACCUGAAUGGCGAGUCUGAGUUUAAAG
rnacentral:sRNA from 1 species